rnacentral:lncRNA from 1 species
UUGUUCAAAUCAUUAUGAUCAUCAGCUGAACAAUGGCAUGGAUAAGAAUAUCAAAUUAAUGGGGAAUGAUUGGUUAUUUCUAGAUUCUUUGAGAGACCAUUAUGCUUCCACAACCAAAAAGAAUCUUAACAAAUCAAAUCAUUAAAAAGAUCAUAUUAUUCUGUAUACCGUAUCCCACAUGAGCUGCCAAACAUUGUUUGCGACCUUGCCUCCAUGAUAUCAUAUGAUCCUAAACGAAUGUUAGGGUUAUCCUAAUUUAGGUUUAAUUAUUGUGUUGCCCCCAUCGCCUGCGAUCCUUUACUCCAUUUACUCACUACACCGCAU